GAAAAAAGAGAACAAAAUGAAGAAAAAGAAAGAAAAGAAGAAAAAGAGAGAGAAAACAGGACCUGUCCAGCUUUCUAAGUUCUUUAAAAACAAAAAGAAGAAUGAAAACUACAGCAUGAUAACCGGAAAGAAAAUCAAGAUGAGAAUAAAGAAGACUAAGAAGGAUAAAGAGAGAGACCGGAACCGUGCAGAACUCCUUGAGUUUCUGAACUCUGCCUUAUAAUGGGAGGAGUGCUGACCAAGGACUUGUAAAUAUGCCAAGCCAACGAUCAUCAUGCCUAGCAAAACACUAAAGGGAAACUCAGGGAAAAGGACGCCAAGUUUGACAAGACCAGACCCUCCUGCUGGGAGAAGACAAUCGGGAUGUCCUUUUUGUUAAUGGCAAACUGAAGAGUAACUGAUAACUUGUUAAUGAAGAUCCAUGUCCUCCUUUUGAGAUCCUAAGGUAAUAGCCAGGCUGUGGUGUUUUAGAAGAGCCUAAGAGUGUGUCAUUGACAAUGAUAAGAAAUGACACACUGAAGUCCAAUAAUGUAAUUUCUAUCCUAACUGCAUGCAGAAUGCACUCUUAAUUUCAAAUGUCUUAAUGUUUCUAGUAGUUUAAGCAAAGCAGAGUAUUUGUAAAUGUCUAUUUGAAAGAUGAGGCGUUUCUAUAUGUAUAUUUUUUCCAGUAGUGGUUUUACGUCCUAAAGAGCAAGUUGACCUUUAUAAAUAGAACAUGCUUUUACAUAAAUGAUUUUUUGACAGUUCAUUCACUAAUACAUUAUGUUCUUUUAGAGUUUGAGAUACAAUCUUUCCCUGGACAGGUUAUUGCUCUCUCUCACUAGAAAGUGUGACGGUAAAAUACUCUAGAGCCGUAAUGGUAGCUGAAUGAUUUUUAUCCU